CGCUUAUCGUGGGCGUGAAGAAGGGUGGCACGCGCGCCCUGCUCGAGUUUCUGCGGCUGCACCCGGACGUCCGCGCUCUGGGCUCGGAGCCCCACUUCUUCGAUAGGUGCUAUGAUCGCGGACUCGCUUGGUAUCGACCUGGCACAUGCUGUUCCUUCUGCCUGAAAUGCCUGUCCCCACAGAGAGUGUGAAUGGAGGUAGAGGUGGCCGUGCUUCUGCUGAGCUUAUCCAGCUGCUCCAUGGUUUCCAUGUUGGAACGUUCCAGAACGGCCCACAGGUACUGAGGACUCUGUGAUGGACAGGGCAGUGCUGACCAUCUGGAGUCGUCAAGAGGCCAGGGAGACCAAGUGAGCCACCAAGCAACUAGGAGAGUGGAGCACUAAAUACAGAGUGUGACAGGCACCAGGAAGCAGGGAGCAAGGGGGAAGGGGGCCAUUCCAGAGGGAGGUUCCCUGAGAGAGGAGACCACCUUGAGAGCACCAGCUGCGAUAGGGCAGGGCAGCAGGUGCCUCAAGCAGGGGACACACAGGCACAUUAGGUGAUGGAGGACUAGGUGAGGAAAUCCUGACUUUAAGGGCCGGGUUGUGGCUCAGUGGUAGAUGCUUUUCUCUCAUAUAUAGGGCCCUGUGUUCAAUCUCUAGUACUGGAAAAAAAAAGUAAGAAAGAAAGAAAAUUCUUGGAUAUGAGACAAGUUCUGCAUGUACAACCCAAAGUCUUAAGGAUAGGGAUUUGGACAGAUACUCACAUACCUGUGUUCCUGGCAGCUGUAUUUAAGUAGCUGAGAGGUGGAAACUGCCUGAGUGCCCAUCAGCAAAUGAUCAGGUAAACUAAAUGUGAUCAUGUGAUGUGUGCAUGCAACGGGCUAUUAUUCAGCUACAAAAAAAUGUAAUUAUUUUUUUCCACGUAGGGAAUCGAACCCAGGGCCUCAUGCAUGUGGGGCAAGUGCUGUACUCCUGAGCUACCCCAGCCCCAGAAUAAUGUUCUGAUGCCUGCUUCUGUGUGGAUCAACCUCAAAAACAUCUUGCUAAGUGAAAUAAGCCAGCCAGGGAAGUUAUAUCUUGCAUAAUCAUUUGUAUGAAAUGUGCAGAAUAGGCAAUCCAUAAAGACUGAGCAGCUUGGUGGUGGCCAGGGCUGGAGGGACAGGGAGUGGCUGCUUAGUGGCUGCAGGGUUUCCUCUCAAAAUGAUGAGAACAUUCUGGAACUGAAUUGAGGCGUCGGUCACACAACAUUGGGAAUUCACUAAAUGCCAUUGAAUUGUUCACUUUAAAAUGGUUGAUUUUGUUGUGUGAAUUUCACUUCAUUCAAAAAAAAAAAAAACUUCCACAGAAAACUCAGCAGCACAGGGAUGUGUUGGGAGAGAAGAUUCUGGGAGAGCUUUAUUAGUUCUGUUAGGACACGAAAGAUUCAUGAGGGAGGCACACAGCUGUAUGGGACAGAUGCCACAGAAGAAAGGAUUCAGGGCACAGAUCCCUCAGAGGCUGCAGGGACAUGUGCAGGCGGAGUCUGGCUGUGCCGCUGGGGCAGCGGGUCCUGCCAGCCCUGUGUGCUCUCCCAGGUUCCUUCUGACCCUUCAGAUUGCUCGUUCCCUAGAACGUCUCCUCUACAUCUGCUCCAUCUGUUCUCGGUGCAAGAUCUGGGGACCCUCUGCAGAGGAUGGGGCUCUGUGUGGCUCUCCUCUGGUACUCCAUCACAAACUCUAGUCACCUUGGUGUUCUGCUGCCCAACUCCAUCUCUUCAUUGGCAGGAGUCCACCAGCUUGGCCUCGGUUCCCCUCCCUUCCUCGCAGCUUAGAAACCAUGUCCAUGCGCCAUCUAGAGUGGACAUGCCUCACGGCUCCCUGUGUCUCUGGGGCUACUGUCCUUUGCUGCCUGGGGUUGUAUCCACAGCUUUGUAUAUUUUGUCUUGUUCUUUGCUUGUUUUAGGCAGAAGGGUCCAGUUCUUGUCACUGCAUCUUGGCUCAAAGUAGAGAGAAGGCUCUUAUGUCAGAGAGAAAGAAAUGUUAAAAAGAGAGAGAGAAAGAAAUCUAGUGGGGUCACGUUUCCUCCUCUGGCUCUCACAGGGAGUGGGACUAAUGUACCUCUGUCCCCUCCUGAGCAUCACCCUGGUGCACAGAGCUGGGCAGGAUCCAAAAAUGCUUCCUUGGGCAAGUCAAACCACUCUGGCCCAAAGGUGGGGAGGGUCUGGGUGUCCUCCAGACUGCUGCUGCCCCCACCCCCAGCAUCCAGCAUUGGCCAAUACGUGUCCCCUGCUUGUCCCCCUCCCUAAUGGCAGGAAGGGCAUAAAUGGAUCCUUGUUACCAAGGAGGAGGCUCAAAGCGGAAGGUAGCAUACCAUCACAGCUCCCAGGGGAGUUGGCUCAGGGGCCCCAGAGGCCCUGCAGUGCCUACCUGGACCAGAGGUUCUAAGCAAGAUGCCUCUAGCAGACUGGCCAUCAGGUGGAGGAAGGACAGGCAAGGGUUGCUCAGUUCUGGGAAGAGGCUCUUGAGGCUUUAGUUCAGGAAGUGAGGAUACAGGGUCGAUGCUGGGUGGCAGAGUGGCCCCAGUGCAGGGCCAUGUGGGCCCUGCUGGGCUGCUGGUGUAAGCACACAGCUGUCUAUAUGUUUGGGAACCACUGGCACACUAGGAUUUGGAGUGAUAUUUCUAUUUCCUAACUUAGAUUUCUCUCUAGAAACUGCCUAAAGAUUGUUCCUCCUCCCAACUCCUGUGAGGUCCUGUAAAGAUCCUGGGCCUGCAAUUAGGAAACCAGUCAGAGAGCCAGUUUGCAAACCAGCUGUCUCAAAAUGUACCCUCAGGAUUCUUACUUUAUGGAGCUCACUAAGUGAUGAUCCAGAGGGCCACAAGGAUUUUAUUACAUUCCCUGAGAGGAGGGGCAAGGCACAACACCUAGGGCCACAGGGGAGGCACCAGGGACCAACAGGGGCCAAAGGAGCAGGGGAAACUGAGGCCUGGGUCUUUCUUGGAGUCUCCACCAGGAAGGUGGAGCCCAGGUCUGGAUAGUGUGAAUAAUGCUGGGGGCUUUGGGUGGGGCUGGCAUCCCUGGUUGGCCCUGAGUGGUUCAGGUCAGGGUCAGGAGCUCUUGAGAGUUGGAUAAGGAGCAGGUCAGACGUGGGGCUCUGGGUAGCAGGGCAGAUGGAACAGGUGGCUGUUAGUUUGGCCUGUGACUAAUGGAUGUCAGAGAGAGAAAUACAGAACCAGAGAGAACACAGAACACCAGCCCUUAUCCAAGGCCGGGCCAGGAGCCAUUUCCUGUGGAGCUGCAGAUCCUCACUGAGCCGUGGAAUGCAGCCCCAUCCUGGGGACUUGUCUCACCCUGGUUCAUUCUGGGUUGCAGGCUGCUGGUACCUUGGGCUGGGCUGGAACAGCACUAAGUCCUGUGGUGACCCACUUCAGAGACUCUCUGGACUCCUCCCCAGAUAGGACAGUGAGUCCAGAGGAGAUGUGGGACAAGCUGGGAACACAGUCCUUGCUGGCCCUGAGCCAUUGAGGAUGGGCAGGCUAGGCAGGGCCCUUGAGGGAUCCUGGAGGCCAGUUGGGGUCCUGCCUCUAGAUCCUACCCUCUGGCAAGGGGACAAAGUACUAUGUCUCCAGAUGGGCUGUGGGCAGGGUCUGGCUGAGAACCCAGCUAGAGUCCUGGCUUUCAGGGACACAUGGUGUGACAGCCACCAGGGAGACUAGAUGGGCAGGAGCCCACCAAGGCCACAGAGACUUUCAGGUAAGCCAGGCCUCAGAAGACAUCCCUGUCCCUGAGCCCACUGCCUGGGGACAUUUGUCCCCACUUUCAGGAAUGAUGGGACCUGUCUAAGCCCUCCCCAACAGCAGGCACCGCUGAGGCUUCUGGACAUAAGACGAGGAUCCCUCUCCUGCUCCAAGCCAAGCUUCCGGCUUUGAGGUCGAGAAUUCCUUUCAUACUGCUUAAUCUGAGCCAUAUUGUGUGUGAUUUCUGUUGGAAGAACCUUACGAAAACAGUCAGUCAACCAAAACAGUUAAUAUGAAACUGUUGCCAGAGGAUUUCAUACACGAGCCUUCUGAUUAAGGGGAAAACGAGAUCUCCAGCCGGGCCAUCGAGAACAAUCAGAGAUCUUGUUCUCACUGUCUCUCAGUUCCCACCGCUCCUGGCUGGGCCCCCUUGUAGGGGGGAGAGCGGCUGACUCCACAGCCUCCCACGGUCAGAUCCUAUCAUCUCUCUUCCGUCUCCCACCAGGGAGGACGGGAUAUCUGAUGGGAAGCCGAUCUGGAGAGAAACGCUCUGACCGCCGCAGGGAAAGCUAUCUCCCACAGAGGGUCUCA